UACGUAGGGUGCAAGCGUUAAUCGGAAUUACUGGGCGUAAAGCGUACGCAGGCGGCUGUGUAAGACAGGUGUGAAAUCCCCGGGCCUAACCUGGGAACUGCAUUUGUGACUGCAUAGCUAGAGUCUGUCAGAGGGGGGUGGAAUUCCACGUGUAGCAGUGAAAUGCGUAGAGAUGUGGAGGAACACCGAUGGCGAAGGCAGCCCCCCUGGUUGGAUACUGACGCUGAGACGCGAAAGCGUGGGGAGCAAACAGG
rnacentral:rRNA from 1 species